AACGAACGCUGGCGGCAGGCUUAACACAUGCAAGUCGAACGCAUCCUUCGGGGUGAGUGGCAGACGGGUGAGUAACGCGUGGGAACGUGCCCUUCAGUUCGGGAUAACCCAGGGAAAAUUGGGCUAAUACCGGAUAAGUGCGAGAGCAGAAAGAUUUAUCGCUGAAGGAGCGGGCCGCGUCUGAUUAGCUAGUUGGUGGGGUAAUGGCCCUCCAAGGCGACGAACAGUAGCUGGGCUGGGAGGAUGAUCAGCCACAUUGGGAAUGAGACACGGCCCAAACUCCUACGGGAGGCAGCAGGGGGGAAUAUUGGACAAUGGGCGCAAGCCUGAGCCAGCCAUGCCGCGUAAGUGAUGAAGGCCUUAGGGUUGUAAAGCUCUUUCGUCCGGGACGAUAAUGACGGUACCGGAAGAAGAAGCCCUGGCUAACUACGUGCCAGCCGCCGCCGUAA
rnacentral:rRNA from 1 species